AUACGACCAUACCCACUGGAGAACUCGGGAUCCCGUCCGCUCUCCCUUAGAUAAGCCGGUGAGGGAAG